rnacentral:rRNA from 1 species
UACAGAGGUCCCAAGCGUUGUUCGGAUUCAUUGGGCGUAAAGGGUGCGUAGGUGGCGCCGUAAGUGGGGUGUGAAAUUUCGGAGCUUAACUCCGAAACUGCAUUCGAUACUGCGGUGCUUGAGGACUGGAGAGGAGACUGGAAUUCAUGGUGUAGCAGUGAAAUGCGUAGAGAUCAUGAGGAAGACCAGUGGCGAAGGCGGGUCUCUGGACAGUUCCUGACACUGAGGCACGAAGGCCAGAGGAGCAAACGGG